rnacentral:rRNA from 1 species
CCUACGGGAGGCAGCAGUGGGGAAUAUUGGACAAUGGGCGAAAGCCUGAUCCAGCAAUGCCGCGUGAGUGAUGAAGGCCUUAGGGUUGUAAAGCUCUUUUACCCGGGAUGAUAAUGACAGUACCGGGAGAAUAAGCUCCGGCUAACUCCGUGCCAGCAGCCGCGGUAAUACGGAGGGAGCUAGCGUUAUUCGGAAUUACUGGGCGUAAAGCGUACGUAGGCGGCUUUGCAAGUUAGAGGUGAAAGCCUGGAGCUCAACUCCAGAACUGCCUUUAAAACUGCAUCGCUUGAAUCCAGGAGAGGUGAGUGGAAUUCCGAGUGUAGAGGUGAAAUUCGUAGAUAUUCGGAAGAACACCAGUGGCGAAGGCGGCUCACUGGACUGGUAUUGACGCUGAGGUACGAAAGCGUGGGGAGCAAACAGGAUUAGAUACCCUGGUAGUCCACGCCGUAAACGAUGAUAACUAGCUGUACAGGGCACUUAGUGCUUUGGUGGCGCAGCUAACGCAUUAAGUUAUCCGCCUGGGGAUACGGCCGCAAGGUUAAAACCUUAAAGGAUUGACGG